UACGUAGGGACCAAGCGUUAAUCGGAAUUACUGGGCGUAAAGCGUGCGCAGGCGGUUUUGUAAGUCUGAUGUGAAAUCCCCGGGCUCAACCUGGGAAUUGCAUUGGAGACUGCAAGGCUAGAAUCUGGCAGAGGGGGGUAGAAUUCCACGUGUAGCAGUGAAAUGCGUAGAGAUGUGGAGGAACACCGAUGGCGAAGGCAGCCCCCUGGGUCAAGAUUGACGCUCAUGCACGAAAGCGUGGGGAGCAAACAGG
rnacentral:rRNA from 1 species